rnacentral:lncRNA from 1 species
AAAUGUGCAAAAUGCGAUUGUAGCGUUGUGGAAGGGUUAAGGAUUUCCUCCGCUACUGAAAUGUGCACACGGUGCCUUAAAGGAUUAAGGGUUGGCCUCGCGGCCCCAAGGCUGCCAGAGCUCCAGGAGCGUUUGGACAACGCUCUCAGGGACAGGGGGAGAUUGUUGGGGUGUUAGUGCAGGGACAGGGGUUGGACUGAUCCUGGUGGGCCCCUUCCAACUCUGCAUAUCCUGUGAUUGUGAACGUUUAAAGAGCAGUGGCUCACUCGGACUCCCUUAUGCCCGCACAUGAUGAGAACUGCGUUGGUAGGGACAUCUGAGAGAGUGAUUGAUGAAUGCCAACGGAUCUGAGCUGGGCACGGGACACUUGUGGGCUGUCUGGGAUAGCUGAGGCGCCACGUGGGCCUUUCUGAGCAGCCAAAGGUCACGGGGCUGAUCCGGUGAUCGAACAGCAGAAUUUAAGCUGUAGAAAGUAAAGUACUUCAGUGGUUCUGUUCUGCAUAAAAAUACAGGCAGCAGUUAUUUCUUGUGUCCUUGUGUGAUCAAAGAGCAGAAAUUUAGAUUGUGUCGAGGGGGACUUUAAGGCUCAGAGUGUUUUGUAUUUUACUUUGCAUCUCUCAAAGAGGUAUCUGUAAAAAUAACAUUCUUUAAAGAAGAAAAGCUAAUAUGUCUUCUUGUUUUCAGUUUAAGAUGCAUCAGCUAUGCUAUUCCUUCUUGUGGCUUCAAAACAGAUCUGCCACCAAAUGCACAGCCUUGAUGCCACUUCACAAGGAUUUGACUCCUGCACUCAGCAGACAUGCAGAAGGAACAUCACCUGGCACUGGGAGAUGA